rnacentral:rRNA from 1 species
AGUAACGCGUGAGUAACCUGCCUUACACAAGGGGAUAGCCUCUGGAAACGGAGAAUAAUACCCUAUGAAACUAUCUUAUCGCAUGAAAAGAUAGUCAAAGUGUUUUAGCGGUGUAAGAUGGACUUGCGUCUGAUUAGCUAGUUGGUGAGAUAACAGCCCACCAAGGCAACAUCAGUAGCCGGCUUGAGAGAGUGUACGGCCACAUUGGGACUGAGACACGGCCCAG